AGAGUUUGAUCCUGGCUCAGGAUGAACGCUAGCUACAGGCUUAACACAUGCAAGUCGAGGGGCAGCAUUUCAGUUUGCUUGCAAACUGGAGAUGGCGACCGGCGCACGGGUGAGUAACACGUAUCCAACCUGCCGAUAACUCGGGGAUAGCCUUUCGAAAGAAAGAUUAAUACCCGAUGGUAUAAUUAGACCGCAUGGUCUUAUUAUUAAAGAAUUUCGGUUAUCGAUGGGGAUGCGUUCCAUUAGGCAGUUGGUGAGGUAACGGCUCACCAAACCUUCGAUGGAUAGGGGUUCUGAGAGGAAGGUCCCCCACAUUGGAACUGAGACACGGUCCAAACUCCUACGGGAGGCAGCAGUGAGGAAUAUUGGUCAAUGGACGAGAGUCUGAACCAGCCAAGUAGCGUGAAGGAUGACUGCCCUAUGGGUUGUAAACUUCUUUUAUAUGGGAAUAAAGUUUUCCACGUGUGGAAUUUUGUAUGUACCAUAUGAAUAAGGAUCGGCUAACUCCGUGCCAGCAGCCGCGGUAAUACGGAGGAUCCGAGCGUUAUCCGGAUUUAUUGGGUUUAAAGGGAGCGUAGGUGGACAGUUAAGUCAGUUGUGAAAGUUUGCGGCUCAACCGUAAAAUUGCAGUUGAUACUGGCUGUCUUGAGUACAGUAGAGGUGGGCGGAAUUCGUGGUGUAGCGGUGAAAUGCUUAGAUAUCACGAAGAACUCCGAUUGCGAAGGCAGCUCACUGGACUGCAACUGACACUGAUGCUCGAAAGUGUGGGUAUCAAACAGGAUUAGAUACCCUGGUAGUCCACACAGUAAACGAUGAAUACUCGCUGUUUGCGAUAUACAGUAAGCGGCCAAGCGAAAGCAUUAAGUAUUCCACCUGGGGAGUACGCCGGCAACGGUGAAACUCAAAGGAAUUGACGGGGGCCC
rnacentral:rRNA from 1 species